GAUGAAGAACGCAGCGAAAUGCGAUAAGUAAUGUGAAUUGCAGAAUUCAGUGAAUCAUCGAAUCUUUGAACGCACAUUGCGCCCGCCAGCAUUCUGGCGGGCAUGCCUGUUCGAGCGUCAUUUCAACCCUCGAGCCCCCCCGGGGGCCUCGGUGUUGGGGGACGGCACACUAGCCGCCCCCGAAAUGCAGUGGCGACCCCGCCGCAGCCUCCCCUGCGUAGUAGCACACACCUCGCACCGGAGCGCGGAGGCGGUCACGCCGUAAAACGCCCAACUUUCUUAGAGUUGACCUCGGAUCAGGUAGGAAUACCCGCUGAACUUAAGCAUAUCAAUAAGCGGAGGA
rnacentral:misc_RNA from 1 species